rnacentral:precursor_RNA from 13 species
AGCGGCCCUUGGGUCCGGUUGGCCACUGUCGUGCAUUGUAGUUGCAUUGCACGUUCCGGCAGUACUGGUGCAAUGUUCCCACAGUGCAUUACAGAGACCCGCUCCUCCCCCUCCGCCGCCA